CUCCUAGUACGAGAGGACCGGAGUGGACGAACCUCUGGUGUACCGGUUGUCACGCCAGUGGCAUCGCCGGGUAGCUAUGUUCGGAAGAGAUAACCGCUGAAAGCAUCUAAGCGGGAAACUCGCCUUAAGAUGAGAUAUCCCUGGGGACUAGAUCCCCUUGAAGGGUCGUUCGAGACCAGGACGUUGAUAGGUCAGGUGUGUAAGCGCAGUAAUGCGUUCAGCUAACUGAUACUAAUUGCCCGUAAGGCUUGAUCCUAUAACA
rnacentral:rRNA from 1 species